ACAGAGGGGCUAUGAGCUGAGUGCUUUGUGUCACUCUACCCCGUGUCCCCUGGGAAGGUCUGAGACUAGGGCCAAAAGUGGCCCCAACAGGGUCCUCCCUGAGUUUCAGGGAGGUGAGUUCCCAGAGAUUGGGUCUUUGCUUGAGGUCAGACUGGGCAGGAGAUGCUCUGGACCCCACCCUUGGGGAGGAGGCAGAUGCCUCCUUAGCUGGAGGUUGGAACAGAUUUGCGGCCAGCAAGUGAGUUUAGUGGCUGAGCUGAGGUACCCUGCCCAGGGACCUCAUAACCCAAUUCACACUACUCUCCCCUGU
rnacentral:RNase_P_RNA from 10 species